rnacentral:lncRNA from 1 species
CUCAGUCCACUUAUAAUACUCUUUGUUUGAAAAACACAUUUUACCUCAUUUCUCAAAACAAAUAAAAUCAAAUUCCAGAAGACAGAGCGGGCUGAGCUGUUACGAAGAUGAAUUGGUGUUUAUCUCCAAAGUGAGCUCCAAAUAAGAUGAAUUGAUGCUUUCUCUACAGAGCGGGCUCUCCGUGGCUUGUACUUUCUCUGGUUCUUGCCUUUUUUUUUUGUAAGUUUUUUCAAUUCAAAUUUAUUUCUCCUUCUUUCUAGAUUUAGUUUUUAUUUUUGAAAUGUGAACAAGCUUAUUGUUGGAAUUGUAAAGACCCAAGCUAAAUUGAUUCUUACAAUUUAAUAGAGAAAAAAAAUUGGUGCCUAAUUCACCUCCUCUCUUUGUUCUCAUUUGCUACAGGAUCCAUUGCUUCUUCAUUUACACCACACAGGUGAGAGAACUUAACUAAUAUUUUUUUAAUUUAUCCUCGUUAUUUUCCUUUGCUUUCUAAUUACUGUUGUAUUUUAAGUUCAUGCAUUGAUGAUAUUUCGGCUAGAUCUAGCUCUAUUUUCAUCGAUGAUUGUUAGCUUAUCUAGAGUAAAUUUUAUGUUUAAGUAAUUUCUGUGAAUGAUUUUAUUUGUCUACAAUUGGAUUGCUGAGCUGUAGUAUAUUUAGAGUGAAUUUUGGUUGUUGAAUUCUAUUUGAGUAGCUUUUGUGAUUGUAUAUUUAAGUAGCUUCUGUGACUAAUUCUACUUGCCCACCGAAUUUUGAAUUAGAUGAGUUGUUUUAUUGAGCCGUUGUUUAUCUAGUGUGAUGCUGGUAGUUGAAUUUUGUUUGAUCAGCUUUUGUGAGUGAUUCUAUUUGCUUACUGAAUUCUGAAUUGGAUAUAUUGGAUUGACUAAAUUGAAGAUUAUAUAAAGAAAAAAUGUUGUGCAUUGAAGAAGAAACUGCUGCUCUGUUCUUUAGUGGAUGUAGGCUGUCUCCAGCCGAACCACUUAUAUUUGUUGUUCUUUGAUUACUGUUUCUGGGUGAUUCUUUUGUGUGAAUUCGUUUGGCCAUAUUUCUAGAUUGUGAUUAGAGAGUUUAGUUAGGUCCUGAUGAUUGUUGAUUGGAUAUUAAAUCUGAUCUUGUUUCAACAAUAUGUGGUCUAUAGUCAUUAAAUUAUCAAAAAGAUCAUUGGUGAUAUUAAAGAGAAUAACGAUGGUUUCAUACUGUUCCCUCAACUAUUUUCUGCAUUGAAGUGAGAAUUAAAUUCGAAUUUUAACAUUAUUAGUUAGGAAUAUGCAUUGUGGGAAGACAACAUUUGAGGGAAAUUUUUUUCAUUUUUGUCUACAGUAGGUAAUGGUUUCUCAACAUUCUACCACCACCACCUUGUUUCUAUCUUGGGUGGUGGUGAUUGUGACUUUAAUGUCCAUUGGCAUAUUGGCUAGUGCCAUUUAUUGAGCGUGGCCAUUACUAUGACAGCUAAUUGUGCUUGCUCAUUUCAUUUACACCUGGUUGAUUUUUCUUCUAAUUGCAUAACUUCAUGUAACAUUAGCUUUUAGUCCACCAUGAGCUCGGUUCACUCGUUUUCUGCUCAAAAAUAAUGUUGGACCUUUUUCUUUUAAUUUUAGUUCCAAUAUGUGAAGCCUCCAUAUCAUAAUUUCUCAAUUCCUUGAGAGCUUUCUUGAAUCGGUUCAGCUACUUGAGUUUCCAAUUCUUGCACCCUUGAAAAUUACUGGGAAAUCACCAAACAAGUCAACAAAGUGUAAAUGAAAUGAGAAAACACACUGGAAUGUUAUUGAUCAAGAACUUCAUUUAUUUGAUCCAACGGCUAAGAAGAAUUUUGUAAAAUUCUUUUCUAUAUAUCCUCAAAUCUUGUAGUGUUAAUGAUCAUUCAUCAAUACCAUCCAAUUUUCUCCGUUAUAAGUUCUUUAAAACCCAUCCUUGUCCGUGUUGCAG